rnacentral:snRNA from 1 species
GUACUCACUUUGGCAUCACAUUUACUGGAAUUGGAACGAUAUGGAGAGGAUUAGCAUGGCCCCUGCACAAGGAUGACACACAAAUUUGUGAAGGAGUCCAUAAUUUA